rnacentral:ribozyme from 1 species
UCAAAGAAAAACACAAAGAAAGAAAAACAAACAAAAAGAAAAAGAAUAUCGAUUUUAUGUUUGUGGGUGUCGUUGUUUCGUCCUUCUUCCUUCGCCGUCGUAGGUAUUGCAUAAUACUACAACGUCGAGGGGGGAGGGGAAUAGCGUUGCGAUGAUUUUCCCAUAUGGAAAAGAAUAAGUAUGAUAGUCGUUUUGUCUCCUUCUGACAGAACAUCAUUGAAUUGG